ACGAUGAACCUCACUUGUGGGGGGAUUAGUGGCGAACGGGUGAGUAACACGUGAGUAACCUGCCCUUAACUCUGGGAUAAGCCUGGGAAACUGGGUCUAAUACCGGAUAUGACUUCUCAUCGCAUGGUGGGGGGUGGAAAGCUUUUUGUGGUUUUGGAUGGACUCGCGGCCUAUCAGCUUGUUGGUGAGGUAAUGGCUUACCAAGGCGACGACGGGUAGCCGGCCUGAGAGGGUGACCGGCCACACUGGGACUGAGACACGGCCCAGACUCCUACGGGAGGCAGCAGUGGGGAAUAUUGCACAAUGGGCGGAAGCCUGAUGCAGCGACGCCGCGUGAGGGAUGACGGCCUUCGGGUUGUAAACCUCUUUCAGUAGGGAAGAAGCGUAAGUGACGGUACCUGCAGAAAAAGCGCCGGCUAACUACGUGCCAGCAGCCGCGGUAAUACGUAGGGCGCAAGCGUUAUCCGGAAUUAUUGGGCGUAAAGAGCUCGUAGGCGGUUUGUCGCGUCUGCCGUGAAAGUCCGGGGCUCAACUCCGGAUCUGCGGUGGGUACGGGCAGGCUAGAGUGAUGUAGGGGAGACUGGAAUUCCUGGUGUAGCGGUGAAAUGCGCAGAUAUCAGGAGGAACACCGAUGGCGAAGGCAGGUCUCUGGGCAUUAACUGACGCUGAGGAGCGAAAGCAUGGGGAGCGAACAGGAUUAGAUACCCUGGUAGUCCAUGCCGUAAA
rnacentral:rRNA from 1 species